AUGAUCAGCCGCAGCCUGCAGAGCGUGAGCCCGGACGUGAGCGUGUACUUCUCGGGCGGGUCCUCCCGGCGGCGGAGCGGGGCAGGGGAGAGCGACGAUGAGGAGGCGCUGCGGUGGGCGGCGCUGGAGCGGCUGCCGUCGUUCGAGCGGCUGCGCACGGGCAUCCUGCGGUCGGAGGCCCAGGCCGGGCGGCGGCGGUUCGCGCACGAGGAGGUGGACGUGCGCAUGCUGGAGGGCCCGCAGCGGCAGGCCUUCGUGGAGAGCGUCUUCCGGGUCGCCGAGGAGGACAACGAGCGCUUCCUCAAGAAGCUCCGCGCGCGCAUUGAUCGCGCGGGCAUCGUGAUCCCGACGGCGGAGGUGAGGUUCAGGAACCUGAAUGUGGAGGCGGAGUGCCACGUGGGGAGCCGCGCGCUGCCGACGCUGGCGAACGCGACGCUGGACACGGUGGACGCCAUGCUGGGGCUCGCCGGGGUCAGCCUCGCCAAGACCAAGACCCUCCACAUUCUCAAGGACGUCUCAGGCGUCGUAAGACCCUCCAGGAUGACGCUCCUGCUGGGCCCACCGUCUUCAGGCAAGACGACACUUCUGCUGGCGCUGGCCGGCAAGUUGGACCCCACUCUGAAGGUGCGCGGGGAGGUGACGUACAACGGCUACGGCCUGGACGAGUUCGUGCCGGAAGACGGCGGCGUACAUCAGCCAGAACGACGUCCACGCCGGCGAGAUGACCGUCAAGGAGACCCUCCACUUCUCCGCCAGGUGCCAGGGGGUGGGCCACAGAUACGGUGA
rnacentral:rRNA from 1 species